rnacentral:tRNA from 1 species
GCGGGGGUGGCAGAGCUUGGUCAAAAGCCGCUUUCCCGUUUUGGGAAAUCGGCAGGUUUGUUCUUGGUUUCGGUUGAAGAAAAGGUCCUCAACCGCCCGAAAGGCGGCACAGAACCCUUCCGACGAAGAAGAAAAAACAAUCUGACCAAAUGCGCAGGCUUGAGGUGCCUGUACCUUAGCGGUUGCGAGGGUUCAAAACGACCGAAGUCGUGAAAAUCCCUUCCCCCGCA